rnacentral:rRNA from 1 species
CCAGGAUGUUGGCUUAGAAGCAGCCAUCAUUUAAAGAAAGCGUAAUAGCUCACUGGUCGAGUCGGCCUGCGCGGAAGAUGUAACGGGGCUAAACCAUGCACCGAAGCUGCGGCAGCGACACUCAGGUGUUGUUGGGUAGGGGAGCGUUCUGUAAGCCUGCGAAGGUGGCCUGUGAGGGUUGCUGGAGGUAUCAGAAGUGCGAAUGCUGACAUAAGUAACGAUAAAGCGGGUGAAAAGCCCGCUCGCCGGAAGACCAAGGGUUCCUGUCCAACGUUAAUCGGGGCAGGGUGAGUCGACCCCUAAGGCGAGGCCGAAAGGCGUAGUCGAUGGGAAACGGGUUAAUAUUCCCGUACUUGGUGUUACUGCGAAGGGGGGACGGAGAAGGCUAUGUUGGCCGGGCGACGGUUGUCCCGGUUUAAGCGUGUAGGUGUGUGUUCCAGGUAAAUCCGGUUCACUUUAACACUGAGGCGUGAUGACGAGGCACUACGGUGCUGAAGCAACAAAUGCCCUGCUUCCAGGAAAAGCCUCUAAGCAUCAGGUAACAUCAAAUCGUACCCCAAACCGACACAGGUGGUCAGGUAGAGAAUACCAAGGCGCUUGAGAGAACUCGGGUGAAGGAACUAGGCAAAAUGGUGCCGUAACUUCGGGAGAAGGCACGCUGACACGUAGGUGAAGUGAUUUACUCAUGGAGCUGAAGUCAGUCGAAGAUACCAGCUGGCUGCAACUGUUUAUUAAAAACACAGCACUGUGCAAACACGAAAGUGGACGUAUACGGUGUGACGCCUGCCCGGUGCCGGAAGGUUAAUUGAUGGGGUCAGCGCAAGCGAAGCUCCUGAUCGAAGCCCCGGUAAACGGCGGCCGUAACUAUAACGGUCCUAAGGUAGCGAAAUUCCUUGUCGGGUAAGUUCCGACCUGCACGAAUGGCGUAAUGAUGGCCAGGCUGUCUCCACCCGAGACUCAGUGAAAUUGAACUCGCUGUGAAGAUGCAGUGUACCCGCGGCAAGACGGAAAGACCCCGUGAACCUUUACUAUAGCUUGACACUGAACAUUGAGCCUUGAUGUGUAGGAUAGGUGGGAGGCUUUGAAGUGUGGACGCCAGUCUGCAUGGAGCCGGCCUUGAAAUACCACCCUUUAAUGUUUGAUGUUCUAACGUGGACCCGUGAUCCGGGUUGCGGACAGUGUCUGGUGGGUAGUUUGACUGGGGCGGUCUCCUCCUAAAGAGUAACGGAGGAGCACGAAGGUUGGCUAAUCCUGGUCGGACAUCAGGAGGUUAGUGCAAUGGCAUAAGCCAGCUUGACUGCGAGCGUGACGGCGCGAGCAGGUGCGAAAGCAGGUCAUAGUGAUCCGGUGGUUCUGAAUGGAAGGGCCAUCGCUCAACGGAUAAAAGGUACUCCGGGGAUAACAGGCUGAUACCGCCCAAGAGUUCAUAUCGACGGCGGUGUUUGGCACCUCGAUGUCGGCUCAUCACAUCCUGGGGCUGAAGUAGGUCCCAAGGGUAUGGCUGUUCGCCAUUUAAAGUGGUACGCGAGCUGGGUUUAGAACGUCGUGAGACAGUUCGGUCCCUAUCUGCCGUGGGCGCUGGAGAACUGAGGGGGGCUGCUCCUAGUACGAGAGGACCGGAGUGGACGCAUCACUGGUGUUCGGGUUGUCAUGCCAAUGGCACUGCCCGGUAGCUAAAUGCGGAAGAGAUAAGUGCUGAAAGCAUCUAAGCACGAAACUUGCCCCGAGAUGAGUUCUCCCUGAGACUUUAGGUCUCCUGAAGGAACGUUGAAGACGACGACGUUGAUAGGCCGGGUGUGUAAGCGCAGCGAUGCGUUGAGCUAACCGGUACUAAUGAACCGUGAGGCUUAACCUUACA